rnacentral:lncRNA from 1 species
UUGUCCAGUGCAGUAGGGUUGUUACUGGGAUUCAACUCGGUCCUGGGUCUGGUUAGAGUGGAAAACACCCUGACAGCUUCCUUCUGGGAUUUCCACAUUCAUUGUGGCUGAAGAGUAAGGGCUACCGAGGUGGGAGGUGGGUCAGGGUUUCUUCUACAGGUGGAUACACGAUCUGGAGAGAGUCACUACCCACUAUCAAAGCAACCUGACGAAGAGUUGAAAAAAUCAACCACUAUAUGAAAAAUGCCUGGAUGGAGAGCUGGAUACGUCUCCCCUUCUAGAUGUGAGCUGCUCUAAAUUCGCUUGAUCAUCCUGCAUGUACCAACCAUAUGCCUAUUAUAUUACACUUAACUUAAAUAUUGGCUAGAAUAAGUUUCCACAUAGAAGAAGAGCAACCUCUUAUCUUCAGUUUAUGUCAAACUGAAUGAUAAUUUGACUGACUCAGUUUUGCCUUAAUCUGAUAGAAUUCUAAAAUUGGAAGCAAGCAGCAACACGUUAAUGGAUUUGCCUCUGGGUCAAAUUUCUACCUCAACUCACUCUCGUCAUGCUAUUAUUUAAUUAACUCAUUUUGGUAAUGGCCACUUGCAAACAACUUACUGAUACAUAUAGAAUUAGCAAUUAUUCUGUCCCUGCACGCUGAGGAAAGGACAUCUCCAGAGUCUGAAGGAGAGAGGAGCUAGCAGUUUCUGGGAGAGGCUCUGUUUACUACUAAAUCACAGUCUAUUUAGAUGCUGUUACAAUUUUACCUAAUAAGAAAUACAACAAAGGCUGCUUAGAUAAUAUGGUAUGACCUCACAUCUAGCUUACGAAUUGCAGGAAUUAAAUUCUGGGGUAUAUAUUUUCCUCCCAAGUAAAAAACAUGGAAGUCUUCCUUAAGAGGGUCGCAGGGACUUGAUCCUCAGGAUCAAAGCACAUGCAAAUCGACACGAUUACACCCCCACUGUGUGCAUAAAAUUGUGCUGAGCACGAGGCAGACAUAGAAAGAUGAACACAAUGAUCCUUCAAAUCCUUAUAAUAUUUCAGGGAUCUAGGGAGAUAAGGAGCAAAGACUAAGAAACAGCGAUCACACAGAAUGUUUGUGGUCGAGCCAGAAAUCGUAUUAGAACUUCUUUUUUUGUAAUCUGGGGCUGCCCUGCAGAAGUAGAAUUUUGAAUUAGGCCUCAGAGAUUUCAGU